GAUAAUGGAAAGCACAUUGGUUCUAACAGAAAGAAUUAAUCUGAAAAGAACGGAAGGUACAGAGACUCAGUUAACUCCAGCUGUGCCAAACCACGUGGGACGGAACCAGCGUUAACUGUCACCUUCGCUUAGGUUUACGCAAUGUCCCUCGCUGCUAGCACAAUUCCUUGAGCUCUGACCAGCCAGAGAAAGAUGGUCUCCUGGAAAAGCAGUCCUGGAGGGAUGUUGAGCUUGAUAUAGUCCAGAGUUUCAGACACAACCAGACGAAGGAGCACCAGGCAGCGGGCCAGGCUGGCUGGCAGUCCUCAGGGGCGGAUACUGCAGUCCAUCCUCUGCAAAGAUCCAGAGCCAUCCCCUCAAAUUAGUAUUCAGCCCUGAGGAAAGAAUCAACACU